GCCCAGGUAGCUCAGUUGGUAGAGCAGAGGAUUGAAAAUCCUCGUGUCGGUGGUUCGAUUCCGCCCCUGGGCACCA
rnacentral:tRNA from 6 species